rnacentral:rRNA from 1 species
AUUGAACGCUGGCGGCAGGCCUAACACAUGCAAGUCGAACGAGCGGCGGACGGGUGAGUAAUGUAUGGGAAUCUGCCUGAUGGAGGGGGAUAACUACUGGAAACGGUAGCUAAUACCGCAUACCAUAAGCUGAACCCAUAUGGGAUUAGCUAGUUGGUGAGGUAACGGCUCACCAAGGCGACGAUCCCUAGCUGGUCUGAGAGGAUGACCAGCCACACUGGGACUGAGACACGGCCCAGACUCCGACGGGAGGCAGCAGUGGGGAAUAUUGCACAAUGGGCGCAAGCCUGAUGCAGCCAUGCCGCGUGUAUGAAGAAGGCCUUAGGGUUGUAAAGUACUUUCAGCGGGGAGGCGUUACCCGCAGAAGAAGCACCGGCUAACUCCGUGCCAGCAGCCGCGGUAAUAC